GAUCCUGGCUUAGGAUGAACGCUAGCGAUAGGCCUAACACAUGCAAGUCGAGGGGCAGCACAUGAGUAGCAAUACGAUGGUGGCGACCGGCGCACGGGUGAGUAACACGUAUGCAACCUACCUUUAACAGGGGAAUAACCCGUUGAAAAACGGACUAAUACUCCAUGACACAGGGGUCCCGCAUGGGAAUAUUUGUUAAAGAUUUAUCGGUUGAAGAUGGGCAUGCGUUCCAUUAGCUUGUUGGUGAGGUAACGGCUCACCAAGGCUACGAUGGAUAGGGGAACUGAGAGGUUUAUCCCCCACACUGGAACUGAGACACGGUCCAGACUCCUACGGGAGGCAGCAGUGAGGAAUAUUGGUCAAUGGAGGCAACUCUGAACCAGCCAAGUCGCGUAGAAGGAUGAAGGUCUUAUGGAUUGUAAACUUCUUUUGCAAGGGAAUAAAGUGGGGGACGUGUCCUCCUUUGCAUGUACCUUGCGAAUAAGGAUCGGCUAACUCCGUGCCAGCCGCCGC
rnacentral:rRNA from 1 species